rnacentral:rRNA from 1 species
UGAGGAAUAUUGCGCAAUGGAGGAAACUCUGACGCAGCCAUGCCGCGUGCAGGAAGACGGCCCUACGGGUUGUAAACUGCUUUUAUCAGGGAAGAAACCCCGGGACGUGUCCCGGGUUGACGGUACCUGAGGAAUAAGCACCGGCUAACUCCGUGCCAGCAGCCGCGGUAAUACGGAGGGUGCAAGCGUUAUCCGGAUUCAUUGGGUUUAAAGGGUGCGUAGGCGGGGUGGUAAGUCAGUGGUGAAAUCC